rnacentral:tRNA from 1 species
GCCAAUGUAGCUCAGUUGGUAGAGCACAUCCAUGGUAAGGAUGGGGUCGCCGGUCCGAUUCCGGCCAUUGGCU